rnacentral:lncRNA from 1 species
GAUAGGAAAGGCAGCAGAAUACAACAGUCACUAAUAUGGCAUUAUGUAAAAAUUGUGAAUGUGUAACUGAUGUGAUUCUGCAAUUUGUAUUUGGGGUAAAAACGGGAAUUCAUAACUCACCUGAAUCAAAUGUAUGAAAGAUGAUAUGUCAUGAGCUUUGUAAUGUUUUGAACAACCAAUAAAAAAAUUAAAAAAAAAAAAAAAGAAUGUGUGCUUACAAAAAAAUCCAGAAGCACUAUACUGUCACAAGCACGGUAAACUUGGUAGCAGUUUGGGGUUUUUAAUUUGGAGAUGGGUCAUGUGGGGAUG